UACGUAUGGUGCAAGCGUUAUCCGGAUUUACUGGGUGUAAAGGGAGCGUAGGCGGCGCGUUAAGUCUGAUGUGAAAACCCGAGGCUCAACCACAGGAGUGCAUUGGAAACUGGCGUGCUGGAGUGCCGGAGAGGUAAGCGGAAUUCCUAGUGUAGCGGUGAAAUGCGUAGAUAUUAGGAGGAACACCAGUGGCGAAGGCGGCUUACUGGACGGCAACUGACGCUGAGGCUCGAAAGCGUGGGGAGCAAACAGG
rnacentral:rRNA from 1 species